rnacentral:lncRNA from 13 species
AUGAGAAAACUGAGACUCAGAGAAGCUGAUGUGGCUUGUGUAAAAAUCUGCACUAGUAACGACAGAAGUAGGACAAGAAGGCAGAUUCCUAGUCACCAAGUCCAGUAAGAUUUGGGGCAAUCACUGAGAAUUUUUGACUUCAGCAUAAGGAGAAGUCCAUUUCCCCACUGAUAAAUCUGGACUGGCCUUGUGACUUGCUUUGCCAGUAGAAUUUGGCAUAAAUGAUGACUGCAAGUUCUGAACUCAGGCCUUGAGAAGUUUUCUGCAGUCAUCUGUCUCUCUUGGAACUCCAUCCUUUGCCAGUGUGAUGAAACCCAAGCUCGCCUGCUAGAGGAUAAAAGAUAAUGUGCCCCCAAACCACAUCAGUCUGAAUGUCUCAGAGAAGGCCACCAAAAAUCAGCAAAGCUUUCAUUUGUGGCUGACGGCAGAUGUAUGAGUGAACUGAGAUCAGCCAAGCUUGGCUCAGGCUUAGCCAUGUGUCUUGUUUUGACCAAUGAGAUGUAAGCAGAAGUGACUUAGGCCACACCCAGUCAAAAGCUGUAAAAGCCACUGCACAUUUUCCGAACCCUCUUGUUCCUUCUCUGUCACAAAAACAACAUGUUCCAAAGGGGACUUGAUCCUUCGGCCUGGGUGCUGGCAGAAGAAAACACAUGGAACAGAGUUAUAUCUUCCAACCUACUACCAGAAGCAAGCUGCCAUGCGUUCUACAGCUGCAAGGAAAUUACUUCUGUCAACAACCCAAGGGAGCUUGGCAAUAGAAAUCUUUCCGUGUUGAGUUCACUGAUGAGACAAAGCCCAGGUCAACAUCAUGAUUUCAGCUCGAAGAUAAAGCUAGGAGGCAGAGACUCACAGCAAUGCACCCAGAUCAUAUUAAACAAAGGAUCGGCGUCGCCAUGA